GGUUAAGCUACAAAGGGCUUAUGGAGGAUGACUUGGCACGGGAAGGCGAUGAAGGACGCGGUAAGCAGCGAUAUGCUUCGGGGAGCCGCAAACAGGCUUUGAUCCGGAGAUGUCCGAAUGGGGAAACCCGGCUGAAGUAAUGUUCAGCGAUCCCGAAAGGGAGGCAAAACCAGGAGAAUUGAACCAUCUUAGUAUCCUGAGGAAAAGAAAACAUAUGUCAUUCCCGUAGUAGCGGCGAGCGAACUGGGAGGAGCCUAAAACCUUGAGACGUGAUAGCCUGUAUGCGUUGUCUCAGGGUGGUUGUGGGGGAGAUCCGGAUCGGUGUACAGACUGAUCGGCUUCGUUUUGAUUCAUAGCUGAAAGAGUUGGAAAGCUCUACGAAAGAGGGUGAUAGUCCCGUAAGCGAAAUGGAUCGGACUGGCUGGGAUCUUUUCCCAAGUAUCGUGGAACACGUGGAACUCCGCGAGAAUUUGCCUAGACCACUAGGUAAGGCUAAAUACUAAUCCGUGACCGAUAGUGCACAAGUAAUGUGAAUGAAAGUUGAAAAGAACCCCGGUGAGGGGAGUGAAAUAGUACCUGAAACCAUAAGCUUACAAGCGGUGGCAGACCUAUGACCUGAUUUAUCAGGUAAUGGUUGACCGCGUACCUUUUGAUUAAUGAACCUGCGAGUUACUAUGUCCAGCAAGGUUAAUCAGCAUCUGCUGAGAAGCCGUAGCGAAAGCGAGUCUGAAUAGGGCGAUUUAGUUGGAUAGAGUAGACCCGAAACCGAGUGAUCUACUUAUGGCCAGGGUGAAGGUCGGGUAAAACCGACUGGAGGCCCGAACCCACCUGCGUUGAAAAUCAGGGGGAUGAGCUGUGAGUCGGAGCGAAAGACUAAUCAAACUCGGAGAUAGCUGGUUCUCCUCGAAAUAGCUUUAGGGCUAGCCUGGUAAUAGAUGGCGGCAGGGGUAGAGUACUGAAUGGGCUAGGGGGCUUACCAGCUUACUGAACCCAAUCAAACUCCGAAUACUGUCGUACCAUGUUACUGGAGUCAGACUGUGGGGGAUAAGCUCCAUGGUCGAAAGGGAAACAGCCCAGCCCACCAACUAAGGUCCCUCAAUAUAGGUUAAGUGGUAAAGGAGGUGGAGUCACUUCGACAACCAGGAUGUUGGCUUAGAAGCAGCCAUCAUUUAAAGAAAGCGUAACAGCUCACUGGUCAAUUGUGAUUCCGCGCCGAAAAUGAUCGGGGCUAAACCUAUUACCGAAGUUGUGGAGUGUGUUCCUUCGGGAACAUAUUGGUAGAGGAGCGUUCCAUCUUAGAGUGAAGUAUGACCGAAAGGACAUAUGGACGAAAUGGAAGUGUUUAUGCAGGUAUGAGUAGUGAAAAAAUACGUGAGAAACGUAUUCGCCGAAAGUCUAAGGUUUCCUGAGGAAGGUUAAUCCUCUCAGGGUUAGUCGGUCCUAAGCCGAGGCCGAAAGGCGUAGACGAUGGACAUCAGGUUCAAUAUUCCUGAACCACCUAUACCGCGUUAAUAACUCGUAGUGACGCAGAAAGCUAAGCAAUCGCGCUGUUGGAUUAGCGCGUCCAAGCUUGUAGUCCUUCGGGACGAGAAGCGAGUGGGAGCCCUAUCUACGGAGAAGGCGAACUUGUUCAUGCUAUGUUGCCAAGAAAAACCUACUGAGUGAGUUGUAUGGGUGACCGUACCUAAUCCGACACAGGUAGACGGGUAGAAUAUACUAAGGCGCUCGAAAUAAGUCUCUUUAAGGAACUCGGCAAAUUGGCCCCGUAACUUCGGGACAAGGGGUACCCCGGUACCGUGAUGGAAUUUACUUCCGGAGCGGGAUGGGGUUACAACGAAUAGGCCCAUGCGACUGUUUAGCAAAAACACAGCUCUCUGCUAACUCGUAAGAGGAUGUAUAGGGAGUGACACCUGCCCGGUGCUGGAAGGUCAACAGUUUCGGUGAUCCCUCGCAAGAGGGUGAGCUGCGGCUCGAAGCCCCAGUAAACGGCGGCCGUAACUAUAACGGUCCUAAGGUAGCGAAAUUCCUUGUCGGGUAAAUUCCGACCCGCACGAAUGGUGUAACGAUAUGGGAACUGUCUCAAAGAGGUUUUCGAUGAAAUUGGAGUAUCGGUGAAGAUACCGGUUACCCGCAGCGGGACGAAAAGACCCCGGAACCUUUACUAUACGCUGAUAUUGAAUUCUGACUCCUCAUGUGUAGGAUAGGUGGGAGGCUUUGAAGUGGGGGCGUUAGCUUCCAUGGAGCCAACCGUGAAAUACCACCCUUGAUGUGUUAGGAUUCUAACCCGACUAUCUGAAACGAUAGCGGGGACCGUGUCAGCCGGGUAGUUUGACUGGGGCGGUUUCCUCCUAAAGAGUAACGGAGGAGUUCAAAGGUUACCUCAGCGCGGUCGGCAAUCGCGCAUCGAGUGUAAAGGCAUAAGGUAGCUUAACUGCGAGACAAACAAGUCGAGCAGGUACGAAAGUAGGACUUAGUGAUCCGGCGAUACCGUGUGGAAGGGUCGUCGCUCAACGGAUAAAAGGUACUCUGGGGAUAACAGGCUUAUCUCGCCCAAGAGUUCAUAUCGACGGCGAGGUUUGGCACCUCGAUGUCGGCUCAUCACAUCCUGGGGCUGGAGAAGGUCCCAAGGGUCCGGCUGUUCGCCGGUUAAAGUGGUACGUGAGCUGGGUUCAGAACGUCGCAAGACAGUUCGGUCUCUAUCUGCUGUGGGCGUAGGAUAUUUGAAGGGAUCAGUCCCUAGUACGAGAGGACCGGGAUUGACGAACCUCUGGUGUUCCAGCUGUCACGCCAGUGGCACACGUUGGGUAGCUAUGUUCGGAAAGGAUAAGUGCUGAAAGCAUAUAAGCGCCAAGCCCCCCUUAAGAAUAGAUAUCCCUAUCAGGCACCUUGUAGACUACGAGGUUGAUAGGUUCCGAGUGCAAGGCUCGUAAGGGCUUUAGCUGAGGAAUACUAAUAUGCCGACCGGCUUGACCUA
rnacentral:rRNA from 1 species